ACACCGGAAUAUCCCACCUCUCUUCUCUUUCACACACGCAGUUGGUUGAGCUGAGGAGCUGUUCACUCGUGCCAGAGUCUCUUCUUCAGCAUCCAUCCAUCCAUCCAACACCAUAGUCUUCUUCGUGAAAUCCAGUUGUGUUUUGGGGAAAUAAAACAAAAGAGAGGAGAGAAGAGGAGAGAAGCUCGGGUGAAAGUGAAAGUCGUCGCUCCGUUAAUACUUCCUUCAAUCAUUUAUUAUUGGAAAACUUAUACCCGGAUCACAAUACUGACUAUUGAUUCGCGACGAAAAUAGAUAAGUGACCGACCGACCGCGGGACAAAAAAAGAAGAACAAAUAGAAAAAAAUCUACCAGUAUUGUCCCCAUCGUGAUGAGGGAGAGAUAAGGGUGACCAAAAAUAAGAGGGUAUGCACGAGAAAAAUUCUAAAAAUCAAUGAGCUUCCCAACCGACCUGCUUUGUUCCAAAACCAGUACCCGGCAAGAAAGAUGAGUGAGUAAAAGUUGUGAUCCGUCGUUUCUCAGGGAGUAACAGUAACAGUAAAGGAAAAGAGUGAAUGUGAAAGACAGAGGAGAAAGCAGGCGGGUGAAAGCCAGAGUCUAAUCCGGAUCGUCAGCUCUAUGAACGUACUAAAAACUUGAGGAUGCUGGAUGUAUCUGGAUGAGAAAGAGGUGACUUUUCACUCAAAAGUUUGUCCCAAGUAGUAUCAUCUCUUCCCUAAUUGAAUCCCGGGCUAGUUAGGAAAGACCGACUUCAAAGAUUUAUAACGGAUUAUCCUCUCUCUCAUCCCCACAACAAUUUGAAAUCAUCUCCAAACAUAAACUUUCUCCCCAUCAUUCAUUCACCAUUCCGCUCAGCACUCUGCCAGCAAUCAGAAACCAUUACAAAUUCGAUCUCUGCAACAAUUUUAUCCAAAAGCCACUUUACUUUUCCACUCCUCAGUCCAACUCCCCAGAGCCGGAGCGGGACCAGAAUUCGAAUCGUAUCGUAUCCUACCCUCUCUCCGGCCCUGCUCAGCGUAAAAUUCAUACCAGUGGAGAAAGCACGACUAACUUUCCCUGCUCCGUUUCCCGUUUUCUCUCAGUUGCGAAUUAGCUCUCGGCCUGCCACCACCACGACGACGACGACGACGACGACGUCCAUCGUCUCAUCUUCUCGUCCCACACUUCUUCUUAACUUAACACUCUCUCACUCAUUCACCAGACCAAACCACACGAGAAAAGUUAAUUCCGUGAAAAAAAAAUCUCAAAUCAAAGGAGAAAAGAGAUCUAUUCAUUCCUUGUGGAGAAAGAAGAAAGCCAGAAAGAAGACGACCAGACAACUCUGCCACCGUGAAAUUGGCAUUGGCAUCUAAUCAAGAAUCCUACACUUUUGAUACUUUCUCUUCCCCACUGACUUGUUGUUGUUGUCGUUCUACUCGUCCACAACUUUUUUUUGGUCCCCUUCUUUCUUUCUUUGAAGAAAUAUUUGCAAUUAGUGGGAGUGAGUGAUUGAAAUUUAGCGAGUGCAUUGAAUUCUUCACAUAUUUUUCUUUCCUACCAGACCAUCUUUCUCUCCCUAAUAAUAACUAAAUAUACUGUUCUAUUUAGUAGUAAGGAAACUGUUUCAUGCACCGUUUCUUGUCGUUGUGCUGAGUGACAGACGAGGGGAGAUCAGACCGUAAAGGAAAUGGACACAAUUGGACAAAUGUGUGGAUUUGACACGUUCUGAGAGUUGUUGUUUUUCCAGGCUAAACAAACCGCAGAAGGAGAAAAAGAAAAGUACAGUUCUGACGACGACGACUCUGUUUGGAACGCUCUUUUCUCCUGCUAAGCUUCGUUAGUGCGGGGUUAAAGGGGAAGAAAACAACAAAGAGAAUAAUUGCAGAAAGUGUAUGUGUAGCUACCUUCUGUCUCGCGUGGCGUGAUCCUCAUCCCUCGUUUCUCUCGUAAAGAAAAGCAAUUAACGGCAAACUUUUCUCCCCCUGAAAUAAUGAAAAGCAGCCGAGAAUUAACCCGGCUUGAGGGAAAGUGAACGUGAACGUGAAAGUGAGUGAGUGACAUGUCGAAAACUGGGAGGAAGGAAGUGUAACAACGACGACGACGACUUUAAUGCUGGCAACGUGGUGGUAAGAAGAUGUCUCCUCCUCGUGUCACGGGGGGAUGGGUGCCACGAGGCUGGAUCUUCACCUACAAUCUGGCCAUCCUCGUCAUCCUCCUCUUCUCCCUGGUGCACCAAGGCGUCCCCAAAUACAGCCAACGCACGGUGAAGACGGCGUAUGGAGAGCUGCGUGGCGUCGUGUAUCCCAAAGUGGGGAGUUUGGUGAAGGACGUGGAGGCAUUUUUGGGUGUGCCGUACGCCUCCGCGCCGGCCGCGUCGUUACGAUUUAUGCCCCCGUUGACCCCCUCGAGAUGGACGGGGGUCCGUGUGGCGGACAAGAUGGGGCCCGUGUGCCCGCAACUAUUACCAGAUUUGGGAAAUCGUUCAGAAGCUUUGUCGAAAAUGCCGUUGCUCAAGUUUACCAGAGUGUUGGAGUUGGCCAAGGUUCUCACGAAUCAGAGUGAAGACUGUUUAUAUCUUAAUAUCUUUAUGCCGCUGAAAGACGCUCGAGGGAAAGGCUUCCCGUCAUCGUCCUCAUCAAUAAACGGGGGUGACGGGGGUGGAGAAAACAUGGGCGGCGGCGGAGGCGGCGGUGAAAGUGCGAGUGGCGAGGGCGGCGUGGGCCUCGCCAUAGUGGUCAUUCUACAAGGGGAGUCGUGGGAAUGGGGGUCAGGAAAUGUCAUCGAUGGCUCCUCCCUGGCCUCGUACGGACACGUUAUGGUCAUCACGCUAAAUUAUCGGCUCAACGUGUUGGGUUUUUUGCAAACCACGACCCAACAAGGAAACUACGCUUUGAUGGAUGUGGUGGCAGCCUUACACUGGAUUCGUGAAAAUGCCGGCGCUUUCGGAGGUGACAUUAAUCGUAUCACUGUACUCGGUCACCGGACGGGUGCCGUCAUUGCAAAUUUUCUUAUGCUUGCCCCAGUAGCGUCAGAACUAUUUCACCGCGUCAUCCUCCUCUCCGGCUCCGCCCUGAGCCCCUGGUCUUUUCAACGCCAUUCGAAAAACAACGUUCGAAAGUUGGCAGAACAGUUGAAAUGUUUACGGGACAAGUCACCCCCUGGGGUCACCACCCUGUUCAAUCCAACCCAUCGAGGCGGCCAACCUGGUCCCCACAAUCUGAAAGGGUCCCCAGUUUCCGUCUCAGCCGGCGACGCCCUGCCCGACGUGGGACCUUGUCUCCGCCUCGUUCCUGGGGAUGAGCUUCUCGCCUCGAUAAACUCGGUGCUUCUCUCGCCCCGAUUUUUGGCCAGAUUUGGUCCACUCAUUGAUUCCUCCGUGGUCAAGUCGGACUUCGUGGCGGAAAUGAAGUUUGACAACUCGGGGCGCUUUUCCCGCUUUCCGCUGCUCAUCGGGACCUCGACGGUGGAGUCGUUCGGCGAGCUGAACACGGAAGACAUCGAGGACGGGCUGAGUGAAGGGAAACGUGACCGUGUUUUGAGGACGUUUGUGCGAAAUGUGUUUGUCUUUCAUUUAAAUGAGAUUUACUCGACGAUUAAAAAUGAGUAUACAGACUGGGAAAAACCGAGGAAAGACUUUAUCGACGUGAGAGACUCGAUAUUAAACAUACUCUCUGAUGGGCUGACGGUAGCUCCGUUAAUUCAAGUGGCUUCCAUGCAUUCCGCGAAAGCGAAUGCCAAGACGUUCCUCUUCCAUUUCCAGUACGAGCCGGAUUCCUCAGUUUAUCCAAAUCGGAUCGGAAGCAUUAGCGAAGACCUCCUCGAGUUUGCGGCAGGUCACGCCCUGCUCGACCAAAAGACCUAUCAUCAGCAACGGGAAGCCUUAAUGGAACCUAGUCUUCCCUCGUUUUCUGCUAAUGAUGCCAAAGUUUCAAAAUCCUUGAUGCACUAUUUGACUAAUUUCAUAAUUUCGGGGGAUCCAAACAGCGGGUAUGAUGGAUCAUCCGUCGAAGAUGCUCAAUUGCCCUUUUGGGACUCGUACGACCCUAUUAAUCAAUUUUAUCUGGAAAUUGGGUCCGGCGAGCCUCGAAUGAAGAGUCACUACCGAGGACAUAAAAUGGCCCUCUGGCUCAACCUAAUCCCGCAACUCCAUCAAUCCGGAGGAUCCGAUGUGGCCAUGCUGCACCACAAUUUUAGAGAUGAACGUCCCGAAUUCUAUGAAGGUGUGGUUCGAGAACAGUUGAAGCAUCAGACGGGAGAGGAUCUCUUGGCGUAUCCUGCCGCUGGUUCGGCAAUACUGAACAAGGGCCACAGUUCAGCCUCCUCCCGUGAAGGUGGUAAGCCCCCCGAGGCUGGCGACGGAGAAGGUGGUGGGGCCGCAGAAGACGGUGAAGACUACGGAGGUGGUGCUAAUAAAGGGGCCAUUAUGUACCCCACCCUCUCUCCAGCCGUCAUGUCCACGUCCGAAUGUCCCCCCAACACGACAAACUCCACCGGAAUGUUGGAGGGUGGACCAGGCACGGGAGGUGCAAGUGGUGACCGUGACCUCGUCCGCCAACUCGCAGCUGCCCACUACCACUCCUACGGGACCGCGCUCGGCGUCACGAUCGGCGUCGGAUGCUGCCUCCUUUUGCUCAAUCUUCUAAUUUUCUUGGCUAUUUAUCACCAAAAAACGCACACCCUACCGACGUCAGGAUCGUGUGAAAAUAAGCAUGACCAUAACGGGUCCCAGUCCGAUGAGGAGAGUCAGCUUCCCCUCCCGACAACCUUAUCCAGGCCGAGGUCACAUCCCGACUUGCGCCACGGGUUUCGUCCUCCGCCCGGCGGAGCGUCCACCUCCGUCCCCGCCUUGUACAACGAUGACGAAGGGACGGACGACUAUGACGACGACAUCGUCCAAGAGCUGCGGGAAUGCACGGGUGGCGGGCAUUCCAGCCAUUCGUCGACAUUUAGGAUGAAUCCGAACAAAGAAUUGAGUUCUUCCAGUGGUUUUUCGAGUCCUUCCAUUCCCGACCCGCCGCCACCUCCGAGAGCCGUGAGCAGUGGUGCCGUCACUUUUGCAAGUUUAACACGUGGAUCCGUCCGAAUUUUGAAGAGAGAUGAUAGUCGAGACUUUGGUGAAAAUGGCACGUGCUAAAAUAACUAAAAACCAAAAAUUGCCUACUCUACUGUCUGUUCAUCGUAUAUACUUACUGCUACUACCCAUUCAUAAUCAUCUCUCUUUUCUACUACUUUCAUCAUAUUUUUGGUGGUUUUCAUCGCCUUCAUCGGACGUUGCCACCACAGCUUCGAAAUUGAUUUCAUAAUUUUAUCCGCAACCCAAAAAUCGAUUUGGCGAAGGACCACGACCCCGGCACUGAUGUGGACACGGAAAGUGAUAAAUAAUUAUGUAUGUACUUAUGUACGGCUCCCUCUCCAUCGUCAAUGUCUCUGGACGUAGAAAGUCCUCACUUUCACCGUCAAGUCGGCACAUAAACCACAACCACUCCGUAACUAAUAAGUAAUUAGAUGGAUAGAUGAUAUGUAUGCGUCGGAAAGUUUCAAAUGUACAUAAAUAUCGAAAUCUGUCCGUCAUUAGGUAUGUAGUUGUAAGGAUGCGCUGAUUUAUCUAUAAUACUCUCUCUACCUUUGACAACUGCCAACUAUUUAUAAGCUAAACUAAUCACAACCUUUGUAAUACGAUUCUCGUUAUUUUGCUAUUUUAUUUAACGUAGGACUUGAUGACGAAACACCAAAAUCAGGACAUUUUUAGUAAUUUCUGCGCUCUGGGAAUUUAUUUUAAAAUUCUGGACGACAAAUUUGUUGAUUCAUAGAAUGGAGGUGAGUUUUUUGAGCCAGUUUCGAUGAGUUCCAAGUUUUCUGGACUUCUUAAGCUUGAGAUUUCUUUUGUCAAAUUUUUUUACAAAUAGGCAACAAUUUGCUCUAUAAAUUCGUCGUCCAGAAUUUUAAAAUACAUUCCAGAGCCGAGAAACGAU